rnacentral:rRNA from 1 species
AUUGAACGCUGGCGGCAGGCCUAACACAUGCAAGUCGAGCGGAUGACGGGAGCUUGCUCCUUGAUUCAGCGGCGGACGGGUGAGUAAUGCCUAGGAAUCUGCCUGGUAGUGGGGGACAACGUUUCGAAAGGAACGCUAAUACCGCAUACGUCCUACGGGAGAAAGCAGGGGACCUUCGGGCCUUGCGCUAUCAGAUGAGCCUAGGUCGGAUUAGCUAGUUGGUGGGGUAAUGGCUCACCAAGGCGACGAUCCGUAACUGGUCUGAGAGGAUGAUCCGUUACACUGGAACUGGAACAAGGUCCAGACUCCUACGGGAGGGAGGAGUGGGGGAUAUUUGACCAUGGGCGAAAGCCUGAUCCAGGCAUGCCGCGUGUGUGAAGAAGGUCUUCGGAUUGUAAAGCACUUUAAGUUGGGAGGAAGGGCAGUAAGUUAAUACCUUGCUGUUUUGACGUUACCGGCAGAAUAAGCACCGGCUAACUCUGUGCCAGCCGCCGCAGUAA